rnacentral:lncRNA from 1 species
CAGUGUACACACAAGAACUAUUCCAUAAUUAGCUCAUUGCAUAUUUAAGGCUUUUGUCUUUUAUUUUCAAAAUCGUAUUGACCAUUAUACCCCUACUCCUCGAUGUUUCUAUCUUCGAUAUUUAUUCUCAAGAACACAUCAGAGUUCUUUUCUCUCUCCUUUCUCAAAAACUCCAACCCCUCCGACAAAACUUUCGACGUUAGAUCUUUGCUCCGGUGCCAUUCUUCUCCGUGCGUGGCCACCGGAGGCUUUCUCCUCUAACUCUCCUCUUUGAUUUUUACUCUGCUUUGCCAUCUUUUGUCCUUUGUUGAUAUGCGUGAUAUUGAAGGGAGGCUCCGCUGAGGGUUGUCUUCAUCCGCUCCGGGGGAUGUAGAUCCGAGGUCGGGGGUUCUUCUCUGGAGUGCUCGUGGUGGUGGAUCGGACUCGGCUCUUCGUCGUUCUCAUCGUGAAUCUCGAUUUUGUCUUUGAAUGUCUUGCGGUGUGAACAGAGGCGGAGGCUAGUGACUGUAACGGUGGGCUCUCUCCUCCUGGUCUGGUCGUGUGGUUAUGCGAAGAGUUACUUUUCGCUGUGGAGUGGAGUGAUUAGCUCUCCCUUGCCGGCGACUUGGGGUCUCGUCGUCCGACGAGGGUCUGUCUGCUACUCAGGGUUGGUGACGUUUCAUUCCCAUCGGAGCGUGCACGGAGUUAAGAAUUCUCGGGAUCUGUCUUCUAUGGCUGCUCCUCCUCUCUUGUUUUGCCCUACCUUUGUCAUGUCCUCCUCAUUGCAAGGGCGUGUUGCUUUGUAUCGAUGUGGAGACUUGUUUGAGUAAACGCCAUCCCAGUGUGUGGUGGAUUGUUUGAUCUUCCCCGUAGGUGUUGUCUCUUAUUUUGCAGGUACUGAAGAACCCUUCUUUUUGCAGGCAUCCUCUCAGCCCGUUUCUAGUCUUUAAAGUUUGUUUCUUUGGCGUAUUCUACCUUUUUUUUUUUUUAAGUUCAUUGUCUUUUGGUGAAUGUUAUUUCAGUCUGAUUUUGGUACCUUAACUGAACGAUUAUUUAGCUGGUGAAAUUGAAGAAAGAAAAUGUUGUUUUCUUGUGACUAUUAGCUUCUUCAUAAUGACUUUUUGCUUGUUAUUCGCCUUAAUUAAAGUUGCUUUGGUUAAUAUUUUAAUUAGCUUUGCACUUCUUUGUUAAACGUAAAACAUAUCACAUAGCAUUUAACAAUUCUUUUGUAAUUUUAUCUCUGGUGAUCAUGUUUCUUUGUACAAAAUACAUUUUUCAUCUGUGGUUAUAACAUGAAUUUUUUACUCUCUGAGACACUUUACCACUUUGGAAUUUCAUUUCAAGACACUUUCAACAUGUGACAUACUUUUAGGCAAGUGAAAGUCAUAUAUGCUCUCUUCCCAUAAAAACGUGAACAAACCAAACUAUCAUAUUGGUUCUAUCGAUACUGGUUUAAUUUCUGUACCAAACCCUUUUUUAUCAUUUCCCUACCUUAAUUUCAAAUCUAAAAUUCAGUCUCUCGCGAAGUUCCUCUUACGGUGAUUUUCAAAAACCCUAGAUCCCCUUUCACAAAUCGUUCUUCACAUCCGCUCUUUUGCUGAAUUUGGUUCACCUUUAGAACACGCCACAUAUCGCAGACUUCCGAAUCACACCGUCGCUGUCAUCAUUUUGUUCUUUGAGUUCAAGACAUGCAAGGUUUGUCUUGUUGUGGUCAGAUUAGCUUUAGUAUCAAGUUUCAAAACGCAUCUGAGACAUGAGAUUAUGCAGAGCUUUCCACGGUGGGUAAGCGUUUCGAUAUGGCCAGAUUCGGCAAAAAAACGGGGUUUUAAAAUGUUUUUCAGAUUUAGUACUUAAAAUCAAAUGUAACCGAAUAGAUCUAUCAAUUUAACUCAAAAACAAUAUGAAAAACGUGAUAUUUUGAUGUAUUGUGACAAUAUUCUAUGGUCGUCCAUGAAAGUAUUGCAGGCGAAGUAAACACAAUUUAGAAGAAGAAGAUCACUAUAAUUACGAUUUUGCCAUUAUUGUAGAAACAAAAAAAAAGCAAAAAUAACAAAUCAUUUGAACAUUGGGCAUGUACCGGUCUUCAAAUAUGAUGUUCAACUCCACAAACAUGUCCUCCAGAGUCCUCCCGUUCAUGCCUUUGUCGAAGGCAUCAAUGUAUACACAUCCCUUGUCCACAACUCUUCUAUCCCCAAUUCUCCCUGUCCACACCUCCCUUGUCCACACACCUAUACAAACCAACUUACACUUCCACAUACUCACCAUCCAUAACUCAUUCAUUCAAAUUGCACCGUCCACAACACAUUCUUUCGAAUUGCACCAUCCAUAACACAUUGUCCAUGAUACCAUGUCCACUUAAUUUAGUUUUAAAUUUUAUAAAAACUAAUGUAUGAAUGAGUUUAAAUUGCACCGUCCACAACAUAUUGUCCACAAUACCGUGUCCACAUAAUUCAAUUUUAAAUUUUACAAAAAUUAAAAUAUUAAAAUAAAUAUAUACAUAUGGAUCUCAAAACAUAGAAAAAAAAAAUUAUAAUUUACUAUAUAUAUUAUUUAUCAAAUUUAGUUACUAUAAUACGAGAUAAUAAAAAAUAGAAUCUGUUGAGGAAACUAAAAAACCUUUGACAAAGAUACAGAACUGAUGUCGUAUACUCAGUUCCUGCAUACCCACAUUUAAUUUCAGCCUUCGGAUUGUGAGCAUCCAUGUGCCAUCCAACGGUAAAGAAUAAAUCAUUUCUAUUAAUAAACAUAAAACAUUAAUGCAUUAUAGGAAACAAGGACCAAACCAAACCGGUUUCCUAUAUUGGAAUACCAAACUGCCGAAGCUCUCAAUAAGGGCAUUGUUGUCUAACCAUGUACUACAAGACAAGGAAAACUGAAAAAGUGUCUCAAAUGUUGAAUGUGCCUCUGAGUGUAAGACAAACUCAGAAUGUGGCCCAUAGUGUAACAAACUCUUAUAACAUCCACAAGAUUAACUGUGGUUCCAUUAAUUCUACAACUGAAGAUGAUAAAUUACAUUAACGUUACAAGAGAAUUUGACAAACCAAAAAAAUCCAACAUUUUGAUAAACUCAUUUGUAACCGUUUUCAGAAAACAUACUACAUUCUUGAAAUUGUUCAUAUAUGGUUAAAGAAAGUUUAGCCACAAAAACAUCCCAAAACAAGCUAAACUUUUUUGUUACCAACAAAUUUGACAAGGUGGUCAAAAUUAUCCAUUGAAGGUUAUAUAUUACAUUAAUGGUUAUAAAAGAGCUUGUCAAACCAAAAUAAUCUGACACCUCGCUAAACUCUUAUGUAACCGUUUUCAGAAAACAUACUACAUCCUUAAAAUAUUUAUAUACUGAUUACAAGAAAGUUUAGCCACAAAAACAUGCCAAAACAAGCUAAACUUUUUUGUUACCGAACAAAUUUGACAAGGUAGUUACAUUAUCCAUUGAAGGUUAUAUAUUACAUUAAUGGUUAUAAGAGAACUUGUCAAACCAAAAUAAUCUGACACCUUGUUAAACUCUUAUGUAACCGUUUUCAGAAAACAUACUACAUCCUUAAAAUAUUUAUAUACUGAUUAGAAGAAAGUUUAGCCACAAAAACAUCCCAAAACAAGCUAAACUUUUAUAUAACCGACCAAAAAGGCUACAACACUCUUUUUACACUCACCUUUCCAAAGAUGAACACAACAAACCAUCUCCUGAAAAAAAUAAGAAAUUGUUGCUUUACCAAAAACAGAAUAAGAACACUGAUUUAGUCAAUUAUCUACAGUAAAAGUUUACAAAAUAGCAUUUUGCAAGAUGAAGACACUUUUAUAUGUGAUGAAACGCUGACAUGAGAUCUCUCGCUUUGUGCGCAAACUAGUUCUGAGCCGCUACCGUCUUGAUUGUCGGAGAGUGACUCAAAAAAUCUUCGAAAUGAACUAUGGGAGAGAGAACUCAGAACCUUAUUUUGGGACUGUGUUGAUGAAUGUUGAGUGAGAUCAAAUGAUUAUUUAGAGGAAGAAAAUGGAGAAAAAAGCAGAACAAACUCAUGAUUUUUUUUUUUAGAAUCAUUGGAAACAAAAAAGAAACAGGAAAUGAAGGUGGAAAAAGAAGACAACGAUAAUGAAAAAGAAAAAUAAAAAUUUUGUUUUUUUAAAAUAGAAUGGCUGGAUUAACGGGAGUGGGAAAUAAAUUUUUAGUUAAUCAUUACCAAUCUCUCCACAAUUGCUUUUAAAACCACUAGAGUGUUUCUCCGGGCUACGCCCGGAUAAUUUACUUAAUUUGCUUAAUAAUAUUAUAGUAGUACAUGGUGGAGCCGGAUACGUUGAUGAUGCAUUGUGUUGUUUUGGUAUUGUGAUUUUAUCGUUAGGUUUUUAAAGGUUUUGUUUUCCCAUGUUACCUAUAAUUGUCUAUGAAUAGAACAAUGGAAAUUAUUUAGCUAACAUUAAUUUAUAACAAUAUUAUAUUACUAAUUACGAAAUUAAUUAAUAUGUUAUUUUAUAAAAAUAUUUAAAAUUUAAAGUAAGAUUUUGUUAGAUUCUUCUUCAACAGAUUUUAUUAUACUUUAAAAGAAAAUUCAAAUUUAUAGUUGAUUCAUUAUUAAUGUAAAUAAUCAAAUAUGUCAUAUUAACUAAUUCUUUAAAUGGUCCUACUAUCACUUGUUAAUGGUAGAUAAAAAUAGAACCCUAAAUUAAUAGAUUAGAUUUGUAAAAUUAUUUGAUUGGCUAACGGUUUAGUAAAAUAAACGAUUUGAUCGGUUUACUGACUCGUGUCGUGUGUGUGUAGUGUUUUGAAAAUCUCACUAACACGAGCGUUUCUUGGUGGGCUGGGCCUACUUUCUGAAAACUUCAUUCAUGGAAGUUUUUGCCAGUACAAUAAAAACUUGAGUAAUUGCAGUGUACACACAAGAACUAUUCCAUAAUUAGCUCAUUGCAUAUUUAAGGCUUUUGUCUUUUAUUUUCAAAAUCGUAUUGACCAUUAUACCCCUACUCCUCGAUGUUUCUAUCUUCGAUAUUUAUUCUCAAGAACACAUCAGAGUUCUUUUCUCUCUCCUUUCUCAAAAACUCCAACCCCUCCGACAAAACUUUCGACGUUAGAUCUUUGCUCCGGUGCCAUUCUUCUCCGUGCGUGGCCACCGGAGGCUUUCUCCUCUAACUCUCCUCUUUGAUUUUUACUCUGCUUUGCCAUCUUUUGUCCUUUGUUGAUAUGCGUGAUAUUGAAGGGAGGCUCCGCUGAGGGUUGUCUUCAUCCGCUCCGGGGGAUGUAGAUCCGAGGUCGGGGGUUCUUCUCUGGAGUGCUCGUGGUGGUGGAUCGGACUCGGCUCUUCGUCGUUCUCAUCGUGAAUCUCGAUUUUGUCUUUGAAUGUCUUGCGGUGUGAACAGAGGCGGAGGCUAGUGACUGUAACGGUGGGCUCUCUCCUCCUGGUCUGGUCGUGUGGUUAUGCGAAGAGUUACUUUUCGCUGUGGAGUGGAGUGAUUAGCUCUCCCUUGCCGGCGACUUGGGGUCUCGUCGUCCGACGAGGGUCUGUCUGCUACUCAGGGUUGGUGACGUUUCAUUCCCAUCGGAGCGUGCACGGAGUUAAGAAUUCUCGGGAUCUGUCUUCUAUGGCUGCUCCUCCUCUCUUGUUUUGCCCUACCUUUGUCAUGUCCUCCUCAUUGCAAGGGCGUGUUGCUUUGUAUCGAUGUGGAGACUUGUUUGAGUAAACGCCAUCCCAGUGUGUGGUGGAUUGUUUGAUCUUCCCCGUAGGUGUUGUCUCUUAUUUUGCAGGUACUGAAGAACCCUUCUUUUUGCAGGCAUCCUCUCAGCCCGUUUCUAGUCUUUAAAGUUUGUUUCUUUGGCGUAUUCUACCUUUUUUUUUUUUUAAGUUCAUUGUCUUUUGGUGAAUGUUAUUUCAGUCUGAUUUUGGUACCUUAACUGAACGAUUAUUUAGCUGGUGAAAUUGAAGAAAGAAAAUGUUGUUUUCUUGUGACUAUUAGCUUCUUCAUAAUGACUUUUUGCUUGUUAUUCGCCUUAAUUAAAGUUGCUUUGGUUAAUAUUUUAAUUAGCUUUGCACUUCUUUGUUAAACGUAAAACAUAUCACAUAGCAUUUAACAAUUCUUUUGUAAUUUUAUCUCUGGUGAUCAUGUUUCUUUGUACAAAAUACAUUUUUCAUCUGUGGUUAUAACAUGAAUUUUUUACUCUC